rnacentral:rRNA from 1 species
UACAGAGGUCUCAAGCGUUGUUCGGAUUCAUUGGGCGUAAAGGGUGCGUAGGUGGCGCUGUAAGUCAGGUGUGAAAUUUCGGAGCUCAACUCCGAAACUGCAUUUGAUACUGCGGUGCUUGAGGACUGGAGAGGAGACUGGAAUUCACGGUGUAGCAGUGAAAUGCGUAGAUAUCGUGAGGAAGACCAGUGGCGAAGGCGGGUCUCUGGACAGAUCCUGACACUGAGGCACGAAGGCCAGGGGAGCAAACGGG